AUGAUUAUUUCAGAGAGAAGGCAAGGUCCAUUAUUUCAUUUUUUAGAGAAUUCUAGUCAUAGUGAAAUGCUCAGAGUGAAGAUGCUGGCAAGGAACAAAAUGGAAUUAAUAUCCAUUCAGUUCCCAUUGACUGCCAGAAAAUGGGAUAGAUGUCCUACAUGUUCAGAAUCUCAGGUGAUUAUCAUAAGAACCUGGUCAAAAGGCCACCCUGGCAAACUAAGAACACAGAAUUUUAUUACAUCUGCUGGAUAUGAAGACUCAGCAUAUGAUAUCGGUGACGUUAACACCCUCCCAGGGAGAAGCGCUGUUCCUUCUGGCUGGGAAGUGCGAGCCGCCUGGCUAAUGUUAUCCAGAUGUAUCGAAACCUCAGGAGUGACAUGGAACGGUAGUCCCUGCUUGAAUCACUUACCUGCUUUCCUGACACCAGCAAUCACACUCACCUGACACUGACCUGAAGCCUCUGACCUGUCCUGGGAGGCAAAGACCGAGUAGACAAGAUGCCUGGUUACCAGCAAUCGUCUGCAAUUUCCUCUGAGCUAAUGAGAUUGCUUUUCUCUUUGCUCAAAUUAUGUGAGAAUAUUUUUAAAAAGAAUUUAAUGUGCUCUUUUGAUAUUUCAGGUGUUCACUCAAAAGCCUAUGUUAUUCUCCAUCUCUCUCUCUCUCUUUUCCUAGUUGGGUAAUCAAAAUGGCACAACCAGAAAUAUUUAUAUCUGCAACAGAAAAGAAGAAUAAAUGUAUUCAUGCACAAGUACAUUAUACAUGUAUAUAUGUUUGUGUAUACAUGUAUCUAUAUAAUUGAUAUAUUUGGGAGAAAUAAAAGGUUUCAUUAAGCACACAGGUUCUAGAGUUAGACCCUCUGUUGCAAAUUACUGUCCUGUCACUUAACUCCUGACAGAACGAAGUGCAUACUUGGACAAGAUGCCUGCUCUGUAAAAAUGCCUUGGUCUUGAAUAAAAUGCCUGCUAUGUCAAAGCUUCUAUUUUCCCAUCUGGAGAAUGGGAACAAUAAUAAGAACCCUCACUUAAUAGAUAAUGGACAAAGGUGCUUACAGCACAGAGUCUGCCACAGACAAUGUCCUCAAUUAAUGCAAACUAUUAAUAUUAUGAAAAGUGAAUAUCUGUUUUCUGACAAUGUUUUCAAUAAUAUAAAUUAUGCCUUUGUUCCCUUUAUUUGUUUGAAAAAAAAAAC
rnacentral:lncRNA from 1 species